GUUGCGGGGUGCUUACCAUGCAAGUCGAACGCGAAAGGGGGCUUCGGCUCCCGAGUAGAGUGGCGCACGGGUGAGCAACGCGUGGAUAAUCUGCCCUCUUGUUCGGGAUAACUGCUGGAAACGGCAGCUAAUACCGGAUAAGCUCCACCAAUUGUAUGGUGGAGGAAAGGAGGCCUCUUCAUGAAAGCUUCCGCGAGGGGAUGAGUCCGCGUCCCAUUAGCUAGUUGGUGAGGUAACGGCCCACCAAGGCAACGAUGGGUAGCCGGUCUAAGAGGAUGACCGGCCACACUGGAACUGAAACACGGUCCAGACUCCUACGGGAGGCAGCAGUGGGGAAUAUUGCGCAAUGGACGAAAGUCUGACGCAGCGACGCCGCGUGAGGGAUGAAGGUUUUCGGAUCGUAAACCUCUGUCAGGAGGGAAGAAAGCGCAUGGCGCCAAUCAGCCAUGCGUUGACGGUACCUCCAAAGGAAGCGCCGGCUAACUCCGUGCCAGCAGCCGCGGUAAUACGGAGGGCGCGAGCGUUAAUCGGAAUUACUGGGCGUAAAGCGCGCGUAGGCUGUUGUGUAAGUUGGGGGUGAAAUCCCACGGCUCAACCGUGGAACAGCCCUUGAUACUGCGCGACUUGAAUCCGGGAGAGGGUGGCGGAAUUCCAGGUGUAGGAGUGAAAUCCGUAUUGGAUCAGG
rnacentral:rRNA from 1 species